AUUGAACGCUGGCGGCAGGCCUAACACCUGCAAGUCGAGCGAGCGGCGGACGGGUGAGUAAUGUCGGGGAAACUGCCUGAUGGAGGGGGAUAACGACGGGAAACGGUAGCUAAUACCGCAUACCAUCAGAUGUGCCCAGAUGGGAUUGGCUAGUCGGUGGGGUAACGGCUCACCUAGGCGACGAUCCCUAGCUGGUCUGAGAGGAUGACCAGCCAAACUGGAACUGAGACACGGUCCAGACUCCCACGGGAGGCAGCAUUGGGUAAUAUUGCACGAUGGGCGCAAGCCUGAUGCAGCCAUGCCGCGUGUGUGAAGAAGGCCUUCGGGUUGUAAAGCACUUUCAGCGGGGAGGCGUUACCCGCAGAAGAAGCACCGGCUAACUCCGUGCCAGCAGCCGCGGUAAUUC
rnacentral:rRNA from 1 species